rnacentral:rRNA from 1 species
CCUUCGACGAGUCGAGUAGUUUGGGAAUGCUGCUCUAAAUGGGAGGUAUAUGUCUUCUAAAGCUAAAUACCGGCCAGAGACCGAUAGCGCACAAGUAGAGUGAUCGAAAGAUGAAAAGCACUUUGAAAAGAGAGUUAAAAAGUACGUGAAAUUGUUGAAAGGGAAGCGUUUAUGACCAGACUUGGGCUUGGUUAAUCAUCUGGGGUUCUCCCCAGUGCACUUUUCCAGUCCAGGCCAGCAUCAGUUUUCGCCGGGGGAUAAAGACUUCGGGAAUGUGGCUCUCUUCGGGGAGUGUUAUAGCCCGUUGUGUAAUACCCUGGCGGGG